GGAGUCGCUCUCGAAGCAGAAGAGCAUGUUCUGCAGCAGCGCGAACCACUUGCUCUGCCAUUUCGUGUUGUCGCCGCUGCGCUUGCUCAGGUAGCCGCGGCGGCUGCCGUCCCGCUUCGCCAGCAGCCCCAGGCUGAGUGUCACGCAGCUGGGGUGAAAGAACUGGUGGCUGAACGUCAAACAUGCCAGCAAAAGAUGAGCCCAUGUGUCCAGCAGCAGCAGGCCGGGAAAAGAAUAAUUCACCACACCAAGAAACUUUGAUUUGUUUUCUAUCCUCUCUCUUGUCUUCUACGUGAAUUAGCCAGAAUUAAUCCCAGCUGCUGAGGAAAUGGGCCUGCCUCUGCUCUUCCUUACUCCAGCCUUAUAGUGCUGUAACACCAGGACCUCCUGUGGAUCUGCUUCCAAUUGACAGCUGGAGAAUCAGGCCCAAGCUAGAAUGUUUGAGUUGAUCUUUCUUUCCACCCAAAGGAACAGGUAUGUUCCCAGGCCUCCAGUCUGAAGUCCCACCCAUAUACCUGAGAAAAAGUGCAAGAUGUAACAGCAAAGAUGAAAAAAGUGCAACACCCA